rnacentral:lncRNA from 1 species
GUAUAUAUGUAUUUAUUUUCUCUUUCUUUCUUUUCGAGAUGAGGUGUUGCCCUGGCUGUCCCCAAGCUCCUGGGCUCGAGUGAUUCUCCUGCCUCAGCUUCCAAGUAGCUGGGACUACAUGCACACACCACCUUCCCCAGUUUUUAACUCCAAUUUUUGCCAGGUGAUGUGCCACAAUUUACACUAUCAGGGCCUUAGGAAUUGUGACAUGGUUUAAAAACAGUUACAGGGCUGUCUGUCCCUUUGGAGAUAGCCCACAUUCUCCCUUACUUGAAUAUUCCUAGCUUCACCCCAUGGGCAUCUCUCUUGAGAUUGCCCCUAUUCUCCCUUGAUUUGCACCUGAUUAUGCAUCUGCUAUCCUAAAUAAACCUCCA